rnacentral:siRNA from 1 species
UUUUUGUUUCACGUUGAGAAGCGC